CGGGGCGUAGCGCAGUUUGGUAGCGUGCUUGGUUCGGGACCAAGAGGCCGCAGGUUCAAAUCCUGUCGCCCCGACCA
rnacentral:tRNA from 1 species